rnacentral:tRNA from 1 species
GAGUGUGUAGUUUAACGUAGGAGAACGUCUAGGUUUCGCUUAGGAGGUACCUUUCUAGGUUACACGUA